rnacentral:rRNA from 1 species
CUCGCCUACAUGAAGCUGGAAUUGCUAGUAAUCACAGGUCAGCAUACUGUGGUGAAUACGUUCCCGGGCUUUGUACACACCGCCCGUCACACCAUGAGAGUUGGAAAUACCCGAAGCCUGUGAGCUAACAGUAAUGAGGCAGCAGUCGAAGGUAGAGCCAAUGAUUGGGGUGAAGUCGUAACAAGGUAAC